UACCCGCGCCCCUAGUGGUGGUCGAUAUUAUUGAGCCUAAAACGUCCGUAGCCGGUCUUCUAAAUCCUUGGGUAAAUCGGGCAGCUUAACUGUCCGAAGUCCGGGGAGACUGGAAGACUUGGGACCGGGAGAGGUUAGCGGUACUCCCAGGGUAGGGGUGAAAUCCUGUAAUCCUGGAAGGACCACCGGUGGCGAAGGCGUCUGACUAGAACGGAUCCGACGGUGAGGGACGAAGCCCUGGGGCGCAAACGGG
rnacentral:rRNA from 1 species